rnacentral:rRNA from 1 species
UGGGGAAUUUUCCGCAAUGGGCGAAAGCCUGACGGAGCAAUACCGCGUGCGGGAGGAAGGCCUUUGGGUCGUAAACCGCUUUUCUCAGGGAAGAAGUUCUGACGGUACCUGAGGAAAAAGCCUCGGCUAACUCCGUGCCAGCAGCCGCGGUAAUACGGAGGAGGCAAGCGUUAUCCGGAAUUAUUGGGCGUAAAGCGUCCGCAGGUGGUCUUGUAAGUCUGCUGUCAAAUACAGAAGCUCAACUUCUGGUCGGCAGUGGAAACUGCAAAACUAGAGUACAGUAGGGGUAGAGGGAAUUCCCAGUGUAGCGGUGAAAUGCGUAGAGAUUGGGAAGAACACCGGUGGCGAAAGCGCUCUACUGGGCUGUAACUGACACUGAGGGACGAAAGCUAGGGGAGCG